rnacentral:rRNA from 1 species
GACGAGCCACCCGAACGUUAUUCGGAAUUACUGGGCUUAAAGGGUGCGUGGGCGGUGCAGCAAGUCGGGAGUGAAAUACCUCAGCUUAACUGAGGAACUGCUUUCGAUACUGCUGUGCUUGAGUAAGACAGAGGUAAGCGGAACUUAGGGUGGAGCGGUGAAAUGCGUUGAUAUCCUAAGGAACACCGGUGGCGAAGGCGGCUUACUGGGUCUUAACUGACGCUGAGGCACGAAAGCCAGGGUAGCAAACGGG